CUCAGCCAGAGGAGAGAGGGUAGCUGCCUGCUAAGAGGAAGAGAAAAGCGGGAGAAAAACCUAGAGUUUACCUGUGAAAAAAAAGAGAAAAGAGAGAAUCGGAGUACUCACCCACGGGAGGUCCAGAGCCGAGUGACUGAACGAAGGAGAGAGUUACGUCGGCUAACUGCUAACCUUUCAUCCAGAGAGCCGCUGCGAGGUCCGACAUCGGCAGGCUCCGCUUUGAUACACGGAGAGCAACGGACGGAAGAAUUCGAGGUUCAGGACAAACUUCCUGCUGUGAUAGAUGGCGAGCCAACCACCCUGAAGAAAGAUCAGCACCGAGGAGAUAUCCACGUACCCACUCAUUCACACACAUAUGAUACACUUACAUUACACUGCAAGGACUUUUGGAAUCAGGUGAACUUGCAAUAACUUCACAACAAGAAAACCUGCAAAAAACUUCUAUUUUAUUUAAGGGCCCCAACAGACAUUUUUGUUUCAAGUGUGCACACGAUAUUUUUUUUCUUUCUUUUUUUCUGACUGUUUGGGUUAUUAUUUUUGUAUUCUGUACAAAUUUGACAAUUUACUUUAUCCACUGUAAAAAUUGUAAGAGUGGCUACUCAACUGUUACUCCUGCGUUUGCCUCUUUAUUGUUGCUCAGUACAGUGGCUCCUUCCGAAUUUAGUUUCUUCUGAUUCUGGUCCAGAUCUUUUAAUUAGUCCAAUCAGCUAUUACACUGUAAUUCACUUUUAUAUUUCUAAAAUUGGUUACAGAAGUGGCGAGCCAG